UUUGCGGAAUAGUCCCCCUCCGGUUCUCUCUCUCUCUCUCUCGCUCGAAACCCUCCCCAGGCCCGUCCACCCUCCGACCCGACCCGGCCGAACACGGCCCCUCCGGCCUUCUCCGGCCCCUGACCCGGACUCCCCUGGGAUCGCCGCCCCACGACGAGCCUCCCUCUGGUGUCGCCUUGCCUCGCCGCUGCUCCGAAAGCUGGAUCGAAGCCCCUCCGAACCUAAGUUUCGACCCGAUCGGAUCUUGGUCGUGCCGGCGUUGCAUGGGCCGAUCCUCUCGGUUUUGGGUUGUUCUCCUCCCCCUGAUCAUCCCCAUAUCCAAUCUGAUCAGAUCAGACGCACCAGAUUAAUCUGAACUUCAAAGCUUGAUCUAGGACGAUCUAGGCCGAACCGGACUUAGCUCCAGGUACUUGACGGUUUGAGUUGACGAGCGUUUGGAAUAUCAUUAUAUUUGAGUUUUUAGAAGACGCAGCUGGAUUAGAGGUAACGAGUAGAUGCAUGGGGAAAAAGGGGAUGAACCUAGUAAAUAAAAGAAAGCUUUUCCUACUGCUUUUUCAAGAGAUUAAGUACUGUAAUAUGUUUUGCUAAACUUUGGUAUUGUAUAAAUAAUGAUUUCGUUUUC